GUUACUGGGGUUUAGGGUCUGUGUAGGGUUUACUAGGGUUUAGGGUUUACUGGGGUUUAGGGUCUGUGUAGGGUUUACUGGGGUUUAGGGUUACUGGGGUUUAGGGUCUGUGUAGGGUUUACUAGGGUUUAGGGUUUACUGGGGUUUAGGGUCUGUGUAGGGUUUACUAGGGUUUAGGGUUUACUGGGGUUUAGGAUAUGUGUAGGGUUUACUAGGGUUUAGGGUCUGUGUAGGGUUUACUGGGGUUUAGGGUCUGUGUAGGGUUUACUGGGGUUUAGGGUCUGUGUAGGGUUUACUGGGGUUUAGGGUCUGUGUAGGGUUUACUGGGGUUUAGGGUCUGUGUAGGGUUUACUGGGGUUUAGGGUCUGUGUAGGGUUUACUGGGGUUUAGGGUCUGUGUAGGGUUUAGGAUCUGUGUAGGGUUUACUGGGGUUUAGGGUCUGUGUAGGGUUUACUAGGGUUUAGGGUCUGUGUAGGGUUUACUAGGGUUUAGGGUCUGUGUAGGGUUUACUAGGGUUUAGGGUUUACUGGGGUUUAGGGUCUGUGUAGGGUUUACUGGGGUUUAGGGUCUGUGUAGGGUUUACUGGGGUUUAGGGUCUGUGUAGGGUUUACUGGGGUUUAGGGUCUGUGUAGGGUUUACUGGGGUUUAGGCUCUGUGUAGGGUUUAGGGUCUGGGUAGGGUUUACUAGGGUUUAGGGUCUGUGUAGGGUUUACUGGGGUUUAGGGUCUGUGUAGGGUUUACUGGGGUUUGGGUAGUCAUAUACUGAAUGAAAUCUGCACUAUGUAGGCUACGGUAUGCAGGUGUACUGUACGUGAAUCAAUAACAGUGAGGAUUUGUUUGCUUCCACACUGUACAGGGGGCUAACAAUCACAUACUGUAACUAUCCAGGGUUUUAUUUAUUAGGUACCAAAUGGAAGAAAAUCGACUGAAAAAGGGGACUGCCUGGACUUGUCCAUAAAAAUCACUAGUUUAAAUUUGAUUUCACAAUGUUUUACUACAGUGUGCCCUACUGAACAGGACCAAGGGUCAUAGUGCAACUUAAUCAGGAAAAUGUUCACCUACCCCAGUAACGAAAAAGUGACCUUGGAUCUGACUGAGCAUGUAUAAAAAUGCACUGUAACCUCUGUUUUGUGACCUGUUUUUGGAGGAGCUUUGCACACAGCUUUACUACCCAAACACCUCUUAUCAAGAAGACCUUCCCUCAGUCCAGACUUGUUAGCGGUGUGGUUGAAGCCACUGAAACUGGCCUAGCUGCAAAACAAACCCACUUGAAUCCAGCUGGAUGGUUGCUGUAUGAUCCAGUAUGAAUCCAGCUGGAUGGUUGCUGUAUGACCCAGUCUGAAUCCAGCUGGAUGGUUGCUGUAUGACCCAGUCUGAAUCCAGCUGCAUGGUUGCGGUAUGACCCAGUCUGAAUCCAGCUGGAUGGUUGCGGUAGGAUCCAGUCUGAAUGCAGCUGGAUGGUUGCGGUAGGAUCCGGUCUGAAUGCAGCUGGAUGGUUGCGGUAGGAUCCGGUCUGAAUGCAGCUGGAUGGUUGCGGUAGGAUCCAGUCUGAAUGCAGCUGGAUGGUUGCGGUAGGAUCCAGUCUGAAUGCAGCUGGAUGGUUGCGGUAGGAUCCAGUCUGAAUCCAGCUGGAUGGUUGCGGUAGGAUCCAGUCUGAAUGCAGCUGGAUGGUUGCGGUAGGAUCCAGUCUCUGUGAACAUCCAGGUAUUUAAAGCAACGACCAUAAGGCUGUGUGUUUUCACAGGUCCCUUUCCCCCAAAGUUGGAUUCGCUGUCCUCUUCGUGGGGGAGGAGCACCACUGUCCCUCUUUCAGUCAAGACUGGGUUUAGUGUUCUAUCAUAAAAUAUGGUUUAUUUUUAUUAUUUUUUGUAUUAAGAAUUUGUACAUGACAUCUUACCUGCCAUUGAAGUUUUGGAUUUGAUUUAGUUUUUUAAAUUCACCUACAUUUGAAAAUAAAGAUGAUUUGAAACAGG